UGCAAUAAGCUAUGAUUGUACCAUUGCACUCCAACCUGAGGGACACAGCACGUCCUCAUCUCUAAAAAAACAAAAGCAAAAACAAAAAACAGAAAAGCCACGGGCACUGUUGGGAUGAUCAGUGGUUUAGUCCAGUCCUUAUGUCACCUUCUACCUAAUUUUCCAAGAUGGCCAGAUCUUCCACAAAUUCCAAAGUGUAGCUUUAAAUCCCAAAGCCUAGAAAAGCGCUUGUGUUUAGCACAUGAGUGUCUACUGGUCAGCAGAUCCCCCGCCUUGGACUUAUGAGGCACACAGGCGGGUGGGCAUGAGGGAGGAAGUGGUGCCAAGGUAGCAGGUCUGAUGCCAGGCAAGGCAGGAGCAGGUGAUACCCUACACCUGCAGGGUGGGCAGCAGAGAGGCCAGGCCCCUGGGGCAGGAACAUGGGCCAGGGUGGGUGGGGUAACCUGCCAGGGUGCAAGGAGGCCCUGACAAAGGGAGGAUGGUAGGCCACGGCCCAGGGUCAGUUCUAGGCCCCAUCUGAGCAUGUCACGAAAGCGUGGGGAUGGCAGAAAUCCAAGGGCAUCCCACCUCUGCUGUGGUCUUCCAUUCACGUUCUAACAGGACCCCAGGCCGCAGCAGGAUUAGGCAGAAUAAAGUCACCAGGGCUCCUGGCAAAGGCUGGAGCGGCCUCCUUCAGAGAGAAUGAGGUCUGGGCUUACGUGAAAGUCCACUUUGACUAUGGUGAGCACUGCAGCUUGUAGGAGCAGGGUCUGUCUGUCCUCAGAACUUUGUAAAUUCUUUCCUGCUUCCUAAAUUGUCCUGAAGAGCAUCCAGCAAGCACAGUGCAAUUUAAGAUGGAACUCCCCUGACUCCCCACAUGGAAAACGCAUGUUCGACACAAACUGGGCCAGGACGGGGAGACGUUUACUAACACACACUCCUGCAAGUUUCCCAUGCAGCCAUCAGCAACCAGACCAAACACUCCGCACUGCUUCCAGUGCCAGCUGCUGCCACCUCACUCCCCAUCCACUCUGGGGUCUUGCGAAGAAGUGGGAGAGCAUGAGCUCUUGUCACAGGGAUCUGCGUGUGUUAGGUGCUGAGUAAAACAUCUUCCCAUCCUCCCUGCCCUUGGUUCCAGUGGCUCCUAGGGUGCCCUACCCUUCAUUUCUCAUCAGCAAAUCCCAAGGAGCAAACAGGUGAGGAGAGGACAAAACACACCCUAGGGCUCCCAACGAUUCCUCCCUGCGAGGACCCUCAUGGUUAACACAGGAGUCACCUUUCCUGGACACACACAGCCUCC
rnacentral:lncRNA from 1 species